UACGUAGGGGGCUAGCGUUGUCCGGAAUCAUUGGGCGUAAAGAGCGUGUAGGCGGUCCGGUAAGUCCGCUGUGAAAGUCGGGGGGUCAACCCUCGAAUGCCGGUGGAUACUGUCGGGCUAGAGUGCGGAAGAGGCGAGUGGAAUUCCUGGUGUAGCGGUGAAAUGCGCAGAUAUCAGGAGGAACACCUAUUGCGAAGGCAGCUCGCUGGGACGUAACUGACGCUGAGACGCGAAAGCGUGGGGAGCAAACAGG
rnacentral:rRNA from 1 species